GACAGAGGUGCCGAGCGUUAGGCGGAAUCACUGGGCUUAAAGCGUGUGUAGGCGGAUCUCUAAGUACCUUGUGAAAUCCCACGGCUCAACCGUGGAACUGCUGGGUAUACUGAAGGUCUUGAGCCACCUAGGGGCGAGCGGAACAAAUGGUGGAGCGGUGAAAUGCGUAGAUAUCAUUUGGAACGCCAAUGGUGAAAACAGCUCGCUGGGGGUGUGCUGACGCUGAGACACGAAAGCCAGGGGAGCAAACGGG
rnacentral:rRNA from 1 species